UCCUCAGAGCACGGUUUUCCCGGUGCAGCGACCGGAAGGCGCGGGCUCCUGGCGGAUGACUGACACCCGCGGCCGGAAGUCCCUCCCUCCGGCCCCGCGCCCCGUUCUCUCCCCGGGUCCCGCGCCGCUGACGUCACCGCGCGGCGGGGGUCGCGCCGGGGUCGCGCCGGGGGUGACGUCACGAUGCAGUCGCUGGUGUCGCCGGUGACCAAGGCGCUGCUGGUCGCGCUCUUCAUCUUCGCCAUCCUCCUCAUCCUCUACGUCAUCCUCUGGUACAUCUGCCGCGACGUCGACUGCGACCACGGCCUCUGACGUCGCCGGCCCGUGACGUCACGCCCCGCCCCCGCGGGCCCCGCCAUGGACGCCCUCGGCCCGGGGUUUCCGCCCCCUCGGCGCGGGGGCCCCGACUGAUGACAUCACCACCCGAUGACGUCACCGCGGGGACGCCGCCGCCUCCGCCGACCUCGCCGCCUCCAGCCAUUCCGCGCCACGUGCCUCCUCGUCCUCCCGCGUGAUGACGUCGCCGCGGGGCGGGGCCUCUGUGCGGCCCCGCCCCCUCUGCCCGCCCUCGCCUGACGUCAUCCGUCACGUGACUCCAUUUUCUACCAUGUAGAGAGAUUCCCCCCCACCGCGGCCCCCGUCCCCCCCUUAUGAUGUCACAGGAAGUGACGUCGCCGCCCACGGCGGGAGGGGGCGGGGCACGGGGACAUCGCCCACCAAUA